rnacentral:rRNA from 1 species
CCUACGGGGGACAGCAGUGGGGAAUAUUGCACAAUGGGGGAAACCCUGAUGCAGCGACGCCGCGUGAGUGAAGAAGUAUUUCGGUACGUAAAGCUCUAUCAGCAGGGAAGAAAAUGACGGUACCUGACUAAGAAGCCGCGGCUAACUACGUGCAAGCAGCCGCGUUAAUACGUAGGGGGCAAGCGUUAUCCGGGUUUACUGGGUGUACAGGGCGCGUAGACGGCGGCGCAAGUCUGCAGGGAAAUCCCAUGGCUGAACCAUGGAACUGCGUUGGAAACUGGGCAGCUAGAGUGCAGGAGAGGUAAGCGGAAUUCAUAGUGUAGCGGUGAAAUGCGUAGAUAUUAGGAGGAACACCAGUGGCGAAGGCGGCUUACCGGACUGUAACUGACGUUGAGGCUCGAAAGCGUGGGUAGCAAACAGGAUUAGAUACCCGAGUAGUC